CCUGGUUGAUCCUGCCAGUAGUCAUAUGCUUGUCUCAAAGAUUAAGCCAUGCAUGUCUAAGUAUAAGCAAUCAUACUGUGAAACUGCGAAUGGCUCAUUAAAUCAGUUAUCGUUUAUUUGAUAGUACCUUUACCUGGAUAACCGUGGUAAUUCUAGAGCUAAUACAUGCUAAAAACCUCGACUUCGGAAGGGGUGUAUUUAUUAGAUAAAAAACCAAUGCCCUUCGGGGCUCCUUGGUGAUUCAUAAUAACUUAACGAAUCGCAUGGCCUUGCGCCGGCGAUGGUUCAUUCAAAUUUCUGCCCUAUCAACUUUCGAUGGUAAGAUAGUGGCUUACCAUGGUCUCAACGGGUAACGGGGAAUUAGGGUUCUAUUCCGGAGAGGGAGCCUGAGAAACGGCUACCACAUCCAAGGAAGGCAGCAGGCGCGCAAAUUACCCAAUCCCAAUUCGGGGAGGUAGUGACAAUAAAUACUGAUACGGGGCUCUUUCGGGUCUCGUAAUUGGAAUGAGUACAAUCUAAAUCCCUUAACGAGGAACAAUUGGAGGGCAAGUCUGGUGCCAGCAGCCGCGGUAAUUCCAGCUCCAAUAGCGUAUAUUAAAGUUGUUGCCGUUAAAAAGCUCGUAGUUGAACCUUGGACCUGGCUGAUCUGUCCUCCUAAUCGAGCGCACGGAUUCGGUCGGGUCUUUCCUUCUGGGGAGCCCUAUGCCCUUCACUGGGUGUAGUGGGGAACCAGGACUUUUACCUUGAAAAAAUUAGAGUGUUCAAAGCAGGCCUUUGCUCGAAUACAUUAGCAUGGAAUAAUAGAAUAGGACAUCGGUUCUAUUUUGUUGGUUUCUAGGACCGCUGUAAUGAUUAAUAGGGAUAGUCGGGGGCGUCAGUAUUCAAUUGUCAGAGGUGAAAUUCUUGGAUUUAUUGAAGACUAACUACUGCGAAAGCAUUCGCCAAGGAUGUUUUCAUUAAUCAGUGAACGAAAGUUAGGGGAUCGAAGACGAUCAGAUACCGUCGUAGUCUUAACCAUAAACUAUGCCGACUAGGGAUCGGACGGUGGUUUUUUUAUGCCCCGUUCGGCACCUUACGAGAAAUCAAAGUUUUUGGGCUCGGGGGGGGGUAUGGUCGCAAGGCUGAAACUUAAAGAAAUUGACGGAAGGGCACCACCAGGCGUGGAGCCUGCGGCUUAAUUUGACCCAACACGGGGAAACUCACCAGGUCCAGACAUGCUUAGGAUUGACAGAUUGAUAGCUCUUUCUUGAUUGUAUGGGUGGUGGUGCAUGGCCGUUCUUAGUUGGUGGAGUGAUUUGUCUGCUUAAUUGCGAUAACGAACGAGACCUUGACCUGCUAAAUAGCCAGGUUGACUUUUGUCGGCCGCCGGCUUCUUAGAGGGACUUUUGGCUCAAGCCAAU
rnacentral:rRNA from 1 species